rnacentral:rRNA from 1 species
AGCGUUGUUCGGAAUUACUGGGCGUAAAGGGCCAGUAGGCGGCCAACUAAGUCGGAUGUGAAAUCCCCAGGCUUAACCUGGGAACUGCAUCCGAUACUGGAUGGCUUGAAUUCGGGAGAGGGAUGCAGAAUUCCAGGUGUAGCGGUGAAAUGCGUAGAUAUCUGGAGGAAUACCGGUGGCGAAGGCGGCAUCCUGGACCGACAUUGACGCUGAACGGCGAAAGCUAGGGGAGCAAACGGG